rnacentral:rRNA from 1 species
UGCGCAGCAGGCGCGAAACCUUCGCAAUGCACGAAAGUGCGACGAGGCUACUCCGAGUGCCAUCCGCUGAGGAUGGCUUUUGCCAGGUCUAAACCGCCUGGAGAAUAAGGGGAGGGCAAGUCUGGUGUCAGCCGCCGCGGUAAUACCAGCUCCUCGAGUGGUUGGGACGAUUAUUGGGCCUAAAGCAUCCGUAGCCGGUUCUGUAGGUCUCCUGUCAAAUUCAACGGCUCAACCGUUGAGCUGCAGGAGAUACCGCAGGGCUAGGAGGCGGGAGAGGUGGACGGUACUCUAUGGGUAGGGGUAAAAUCUUCUGAUCCUGGGAAGACCACCAGUGGCGAAGGCGUGCGGCCAAAACGCGCUCGACGGUGAGGGGCGAAAGCUGGGGGAGCGAUCCGGAUUAGAUACCCGGGUAGUCC